rnacentral:lncRNA from 1 species
UAAAUAUAUAUUUUUUUACAUAUUCCCAUAUGUAAAAUGGGAUACACUCUACCUUUAUCUGUAGAGUGUAUCCAUAGGACAAUGUGCAAUGGUCUUAAACGGUAAGAGCUUAGAUUUAGAUUACACAUUUGGAAGAAAUUCUUGACUGUGAGAGCAGUAAGGCACUGGAACAGGCUGCCCAGAGAAGCCAUGGCUGCCCCAUCCCUAGAAGCAUUUGAGUACUGAAUCUCAUGAAGAUAAAAUCCCAGAAGAUCCUGCUGAAAGAAAGAUGAGGUGCAGAGAUGUGCUAUGCUUCAUCGGAUUGAAUUUGGUUUGAAUUGACUGCAGCAAGAAGGAGUCAGUCAAGCAUCCCCAUGGCGAGCAAUGCAUUGAUGCUUGAAUGCUGAGCCAUAUGUUUGAAGAUGGAAUUUCAUCGAUGCAGGG